rnacentral:lncRNA from 1 species
UGUCACGCCCGGGUACCCGCGGAAGCAUAUCCGGUACGUGCACAGACCCGCCAUACACCUGCAGUAUAUAAGGCGUCUACAAAAAGCAAGUCGAUAGGAAGAAGCAUAGUAUAAUCCUAUCCUGAUAUCAGAGCAAAGUACAAGUCGAUAUACUAUCAGCAAAAGAACAAAGAGUGUACAAUCCAAAAUCUCGACUAAAAGAGAAAGUAUCAUAACCAUAGUGACUGUCCACAAAGUACAUAUACAUCACGGGGUAUACAAAAGAAUAGGUACAAUGGUGGUCGCUCUAUACAUAGGGACAUCACCCUCGGCCGUAGCCCGAGUAGCAAGGUGAUCGACUAGCAUGCUCCUAGCAAUGUCUAGCUAGACGCGACUCCCUUGUCACGAUCCCUAGCCUCUCCUGUAGAUGGCUCUGUAAAAACAACCACCAAAAGGGCGUGAGAACUAUAAACAAUAGUUCCCAGUGGGUAAGCCGCCAGCCUCGGCGAAUUACACCACUAGGCUCAUGAUGUACUAAAAGGAAGAAAAGCAGUAACUGCAUGAUAUAUAUUUAAUUAUGCAAUGCUAACAGGUAAUGAGCAUGUAAGGAACAUGUAAUCAUAAUCUCAACAGUAAUGAUUCAACUGAAUAAUAGAAGCAUAGCAACUACUAUAAGCAUGAACAUAAGCAUAAAUGUGUAAGUAACUACUGUACACUGUAACUGGUAAUCAUUCAUUACUGUCCAAUUUUCUUUAGCACUUUCCUUUAAUUCACAGGGAUCUACUCAAAGUAGUCCAGCUUGCGCCGCGCCUAAUGGCCCCGUGGCAGUGUACACUCCCCACGGCAAUCCACUUCGGCACCCAAUCUCGCACGGGCGAGCAACUGUCGCGUAGGCCAACUCCGGAGUGCCGGCUUGUAGGGAGCGACCCUCACAAGCGUGUGCGAAUGAGCACGAUGGCAAGCAAGCAUAUUCCACUGUCCACAUGUCCCAAUUAUCAUAUUUUCAUUUGCAAUAUUCUCAGUCUCGAUCCUCGAUCGGAAUUUCAAUAUAACAAAUAUUAACAACAACUAGAAUCCACUAGUUUAGUAAGCAUGCAAGGGUAAUGCUAAUUUACACAUGGCAUUAGAAUCUUUUCACUAUCAUGGCACUACCAAC